GUCCAAGUCUCGCCUCCUCCAGAAAGCCUCCCAGGACUGCUGGCCCCAGACACAAAACUCCCAAGGGAAGGCUGUUCCACCAAAAGUCACGGAUGCAGCGAUAAUGAUGAGUUUGGAGAGGACUGCAGACCCUGAGGCGGAGGUUGGUGCAGGGGCUGGACCUGAAACUGGGUUCACACAACAAGCUCAGACUCCUCUUAACGUUCCUGGUUGGUGACAUUGUGGGGUCUUGGAUGCCCCCUCCUCUCUGUCCCUGGUACUGUCCCUGCCACCUGGGACUCCACUAAGUUCCUUCCCCUCCACCCACAAGGAAAGCCUGCCCAGUGGCCAGCACUCUGUCCCUCAGCCUCAGAACCAGGAGCAUUCUCUCCGCUUCGAUGUCACAGCAGGUAAAAAAAUACACAAAAUAAAAUGAAAUGUCAUGAUCACCUGAGAAGGAAGUUCGGCGUAGGCCCGUAUCACGUGUUUCCAGAGAAGCCACACCUUCGCUAUGAAGCCCUUCCUGGCAUAGAGAAGGGUGGGGCCAGGAAACAGCUGCUAUCCAGCACCCCCAGGCUGACUGAAGCCAGAGUGUAUGGGGGCCAGCGAUGGAACAGAGGGAGCCUCCUGCCCAGGGCAAGCGGGGGGAGACCACCAGGGGCCCCAGAUUCUGUCUCCAGAGCCUUUGAGGUCACUCCUGACGCUGACAUGGCUGUGAAGAGCUGGGUGACAGGCAUUACUGCCUCCAAGGUUGCUUUGAGAGGAAUAGGUGGGGCAUCAGGAAGAAGCCAGCUGCAGCCAUCCAUGGGAGGGAGCUGUGAGACGGCCUGGAAGGACCGGCUCUCACACCCCACAGAGGGAGAGGCUCACCCUGCGCAGGAACAUCCUGGGGCAGCAGGCUCAGCACAUUUUACAUUUUGAAUAUGAACAAAGUAAACUUCAGGGUAAAAAAAAAAACAAAAAUUCGCUGAGCACACAAUGAUUGAGUGUCUGUGGUAUACCUGACGCUUUGCCAGAACCAGGCUUCAAACCUCAGGGUUCUGGGUCCUUGGAGGCCCAGCUCCAACCCCACCUCACCCAAGCACCCUCCACCCCCAUCACGUACCCAUCACCAGGGCUGCCCAGCUUGGGCCAUCUCAGACCACUUGGACUUCCUCCCGAGGCCUCCAGCCCCUCAGGCCUCACACCCUGAGCCCCUCAACCUGGAAACCAGCCACCGGCCUGUACACUAUGGGGGCCCCUGAGGUUUCCACCUCCUGCUACCCUUGGCCUGAAAGGGGUCAGUGGGACCCUGCCCUGGGCCUCUGGGAGGCUGUACCCUUGCUUCUGCCUCAUCCUGUUCUCCAGGGCCCUGUCCCUUUCUUGCUGGGCCCUCCCAGAAUGCCCCCCACCCCCAGUCACUGCCCUCACUGGCCUAAGUCACCUCCUCCAGGAAGCCUUCCAGACUGAUGGCUCCCAGCCACUGAGCAUCCCCCAACUUUGCUGAGAAUGGUGGACGCCCACCAUGGGCCCUCGGAAGCCGGAGAAGCCUGGGCCUCCCUGCAGGGGCUGCCACAGAGUUUUCCUGCCACUGCAGUUCCACCCAGGUCAAUCCCUUUCCUGCUUGUGUUUCCCAAGAAUAACUGUGGAACAUGCUGGAAAUGCAACAUCCUGAGAUAGGGAGAACAGCCUGAAGCAGCCAGGGCCUAGUUCCUGUCGCUCCAGGAGAAGGGAACAUGAUGAGUUAGAGAGUGGCCCCUGAAGAAGAAAGCGAGACAAAAAUCCCU
rnacentral:lncRNA from 1 species